rnacentral:rRNA from 1 species
GACUCUCGGCAACGGAUAUCUCGGCUCUCGCAUCGAUGAAGAACGUAGCGAAAUGCGAUACCUGGUGUGAAUUGCAGAAUCCCGCGAACCAUCGAGUCUUUGAACGCAAGUUGCGCCCGAGACCUUUUGGUUGAGGGCACGCCUGCCUGGGCGUCACGCCAAAU